rnacentral:tRNA from 1 species
GGGGACGUAGCUCAGUUGGUAGAGCGCUUGAAUGGCAUUCAAGAGGUCAGGGGUUCGAUUCCCCUCGUCUCCAC